CCUACGUGGAGCAGCAGUGGGGAAUAUUGGACAAUGGGCGAAAGCCUGAUCCAGCCAUGCCGCGUGUGUGAAGAAGGCCUUCGGGUUGUAAAGCACUUUCAGUGGGGAAGAAAGCCUUGGGGCUAAUACCCUCGAGGAAGGACAUCACCCACAGAAGAAGCACCGGCUAACUCCGUGCCAGCAGCCGCGGUAAUACGGAGGGUGCGAGCGUUAAUCGGAAUUACUGGGCGUAAAGCGCGCGUAGGCGGUCUGAUAAGCCGGUUGUGAAAGCCCCGGGCUCAACCUGGGAACGGCAUCCGGAACUGUCAGGCUAGAGUGCAGGAGAGGAAGGUAGAAUUCCCGGUGUAGCGGUGAAAUGCGUAGAGAUCGGGAGGAAUACCAGUGGCGAAGGCGGCCUUCUGGACUGACACUGACGCUGAGGUGCGAAAGCGUGGGUAGCAAACAGGAUUAGAUACCCUUGUAGUC
rnacentral:rRNA from 1 species